CCGGGCGCAUCGAGGACGCGCUCGCGUCGGUGGCCGACAUCGUGCAGUCGAGCCGCAAGAUCCGCCGCGCCGUCACGGGCGGCGUCGCGUAUCCGGUCGGGCUCGUCGUGAUGGUGAUCGGCUAUCUGUACCUGUUCGGCACGCACGUGAUCCCGAAAUUCGCGCUGAUCGCCGAUCCGGCGCACUGGCGCGGCGCCGCGCGCUCGCUGUAUCUGAUGUCGCUGUUCGUGCAGGGCUGGAUGCUCGUCGUCGUCGCGGCGCUCGCGGCGGCGCUCGUCGCGCUCGCGUGGUCGCUGCCGCGCUGGCGCGGGCCGCUGCGCAUCUACGCGGACCGCGUGCCGCCUUAUUCGAUCUACCGGCUCAUCGCGGGCAGCGGCUUUCUGAUCGCGUUCUCGGCGCUGCAGGCGUCGGGCGUCACCGUCGAGAAGGCGCUGCUGAAGAUCGGCUCGGUCGCGGGGCCGUGGCUGCGCGAGCGAAUCGACGACACGCUCGUCGGCGUGAAGUCGGGCCUGAACGCCGGCGAGGCGCUGCUCAACGCCGGCUAUCAGUUUCCGUCGCGCGAGAUCGUCGAGGAUCUGUGCAUCUAUGCCGAAUACGGCGGCUUCGACGCCGCGCUCAAGAUGCUCGCCGACGAAUGGCUCGAGGAGGGCGUCGCGCGGAUCACCGCGCAGAUGCGCGUGCUCAACGGCGUCGCGAUCGUCGUGCUCGCGCUGCUGAUCGGCUGGCUCGUGACGGGCUUCUUCGGCAUCCAGCAGGAAAUCGCCGCAAUGACGCGCGCGAUGCAUUGACGUCGCGCAUUUUCAAUUCAGGAGAAACCAGCAUGAAACCACUCGCCGCCCAUCCCGCCUAUCGACACGAGCCGGCGUUCUGCCGGCGCCACCGCCGCGAGCGCGGCGCGUCGCUGCUCGAGAGCAUCGCGUAUCUCGGCGUCGCGGCGAUCGUGAUCGUCGGCGCGAUCGCGCUGCUCGGCUCGGCGUUCUCGAGCGCGAACACGAACCGGCUCGCCGAGGAGCUGAACGCGAUCCAGACGGGGACGAAAAAGCUGUAUAUGGGGCAGGUGAACAACUAUGGGAACGCCGACCUGAACGCGAAUCUCAUCGCGGCGCGGGUGUUUCCGAGCACGCUGCCCACCGGCAACAACAACACGGUAUCGAAUGCUUGGGGAGGCAACGUCACGGUGACGGGGGCCGGCCGGACCUUCACGGUCCAGUACACGAACGUUCCGCGCGACGUCUGCAUCAAUACGCUGACCGCCGGCGGCAACUGGCAGACCGUUGCGAUCGGCGGAAAUGCGCCGAUCAACUACCCGGUUUCGCCCACCAAUGCGACCGCGAACUGCGCGGACGCCGCCACGAUCGUCUGGACGUCGAACUGACGCCGCCCGAAUCGUUUUCCACCGUUCGCACCGCCGCACAUGUACGCGUUAGCCGCCGCACUGGCCUUCGCCUCGCUCGCCGCCGUCUACGCGGCGCUGCAGGGCCCGGCCGCCG
rnacentral:rRNA from 1 species